rnacentral:misc_RNA from 1 species
UCGGCAACCGAUAUCACAAACACCUGG